rnacentral:siRNA from 1 species
UUUACUAAUUGGUAUAUUCCC